ACGUAUCAAACAAAUACAAUGUGGAGGAUGGCGAAAAGGCAAUUUAAUACCUGAUUCGCCAGACACUAUAUUGUCCUUGCUAGAAACGGUGCGGGCAUGGCAACAACAAACGGGAAAUCAUAAAAUUCUUGUUCACUGCAUGAAUGGAGCAGAUAGAAGUGGUUUGUUUUGUGUCAUAUCAUCAGUCAUAGAACGUAUGAAGAUUGAACAAGAUGUUGCUAUAGCGUCUGUUGUAGAAGAAAUGAGAAACGCUAGGGAACAAAUCAUUCCCAGUUUAGAACAAUAUCAGUUUUGUCAUGAAGUGGUUCUUAACUUCAUACAACAGUACGACACAUAUUCAAAUUUCCGAAGUUAAUAGAAUAACAAACACUCAUGACCAACGAGAAUUCAGCUAUCCGGUGUUUCAUUUAUGCUGUAGUUUGUGCCAUCAGAUGUUAUGAUAGUUUGUUUUUGAUGAAUUUGAUAAAUAGAAUUUUGCUUUGUACAUAUAAAUAUAUAUUCUAAUCACGUUUGUGUUUAUUAUAAACAAUAUAGUAAAGAAAUUACAUAUCAA